rnacentral:rRNA from 1 species
GAUGAACGCUGGCGGCGUGCCUAAUACAUGCAAGUCGAACGCUGAAGCUUGGUGCUUGCACCGAGCGGAUGAGUUGCGAACGGGUGAGUAACGCGUAGGUAACCUGCCUCUUAGCGGGGGAUAACUAUUGGAAACGAUAGCUAAUACCGCAUAAAAGUCGACAUCGCAUGAUGUUGACUUGAAAGGUGCAAUUGCAUCACUAAGAGAUGGACCUGCGUUGUAUUAGCUAGUUGGUGAGGUAACGGCUCACCAAGGCGACGAUACAUAGCCGACCUGAGAGGGUGAUCGGCCACACUGGGACUGAGACACGGCCCAGACUCCUACGGGAGGCAGCAGUAGGGAAUCUUCGGCAAUGGGGGCAACCCUGACCGAGCAACGCCGCGGGAGUGAAGAAGGUUUUCGGAUCGUAAAGCUCUGUUGUAAGAGAAGAACGAGUGUGAGAGUGGAAAGUUCACACUGUGACGGUAACUUACCAGAAAGGGACGGCUAACUACGUG